UACGGAGGGGGCUAGCGUUGUUCGGAAUUACUGGGCGUAAAGCGCACGUAGGCGGCUUUGUAAGUUAGAGGUGAAAGCCCGGGGCUCAACUCCGGAAUUGCCUUUAAGACUGCAUCGCUAGAAUUGUGGAGAGGUAAGUGGAAUUCCGAGUGUAGAGGUGAAAUUCGUAGAUAUUCGGAAGAACACCAGAGGCGAAGGCGACUUACUGGACACAUAUUGACGCUGAGGUGCGAAAGCGUGGGGAGCAAACAGG
rnacentral:rRNA from 1 species